UGAGAGGACGUCCAGCCACACUGGGACUGAGACAUGGUCCAGACUCCUACGGGAGUUAGCAUCGGGGGAUAUUGCACAAUCGGCGAAAGCCGGAUGCAGUGACGCCGCGUGCAGGAUGAAGGCUUUCGGGUCGUAAAUUGCUGUCGGGUGGGAUGAACACCGGGAGUGACGUCUCGGUCUGACAGUACCACCCAAGAAAGCCCCAGCUAACUACGUGCCAGCAGCUGCGGUAAUACGUAGGGGGCGAGCGUUGUCCGGAAUUACUGGGCGUAAAGGGCGUCUAGGCGGCUUGGCAAGCGGGACGUGAAAGCCCGAGGCUCAACCUCGGAAAGCCAUUCCGAACUGCCAGGCUUGAGUGCGGGAGAGGGCAGUGGAAUUCCCGGUGUAGCGGUGAAAUGCAUAGAUAUCGGGAGGAACACCAGUGGCGAAGGCGGCUGCCUGGACCGUUACUGACGCUGAAGCGCGAAAGCCAGGGGAGCGAACGGGAUUAGAUACCCCGGUAGUCCUGGCCCUAAACGAUGAUCACUAGGUGUUGGGGGCAUCAACCCUUCCAGUGCCGAAG
rnacentral:rRNA from 1 species